rnacentral:rRNA from 1 species
CAGCAGCCACGGUAAUACGGAGGGUGCAAGCGUUAAUCGGAAUUACUGGGCGUAAAGCGCACGCAGGCGGUCUGACAAGUCAGAUGUGAAAUCCCCGGGCUUAACCUGGGAACUGCAUUUGAAACUGUCAGGCUGGAGUCUUGUAGAGGGGGGUAGAAUUCCAGGUGUAGCGGUGAAAUGCGUAGAGAUCUGGAGGAAUACCGGUGGCGAAGGCGGCCCCCUGGACAAAGACUGACGCUCAGGUGCGAAAGCGUGGGGAGCAAACAGGAUUAGAGACCCGCGUAGUCCCUGUCUCUUAUAA